GAUCAAGUAAAGGAAGAGCACAAGGCGGAUGCCUUGGCAGCAUAAGGCGAUGAAGGACGUAAUAACCUGCGAUAAGCCUCGGGGAGCUGGUAAAUAAGCUUCGAUCCGAGGAUUUCCGAAUGGGAAAACCCAAUACACAUAAGUGUAUUAUCUUAUACUGAAUACAUAGGUAUAAGAGGCAAACCUAGGGAACUGAAACAUCUAAGUACCUAGAGGAAAAGAAAUCAACAGAGAUUCCGGUAGUAGCGGCGAGCGAAACCGGACCAGCCCUU
rnacentral:rRNA from 1 species